rnacentral:lncRNA from 1 species
AUUGGCCUUCUCCACCAAUGAACUUUGUCCACGUGACUGUCCUGAGAGUUGCUUUCCGGAACAUCAUCUCUUCCUUUACUGCCAUGCAUGCCUAGCAGACUGUGAGUACUAACGAGUUCUUUUUUUCAGUGUAUAAAACGGAGAGUAGUCAAAGACCAGAGGAAGUGUACCACCUGCCCCCCUUCUUUAUACUGCAUUCUUGGGCAAAAUGCGACACUUUGCCUGGGCCCUCCUUUUGGUUCUCCUUGCUUGUCCGACCACUUGGAAUCCCAUGGCUGUCACGUGCUUUGAAGAAAUCAGGGAACCAUAGCACCUCCUUUGGAGAAGGCAGUGACACCCCACUCCAGUACUCUUGCCUGGAAAAUCCCAUGGAUAGAGGAGCCUGGUAGGCUGCACCCCAUGGGGUCACUAAGAAUCAGACACGACUGAGCGACUUCACUUUCACUUUUCACUUUCACGCAUUGGAGAGGGAAAUGGCAACCCACUCCAGUGUUCUUGCCUGGAGAAUCCCAGGGACGGGGGAGCCUGGUGGGCUGCUGUCUAUGGGAUCGCAGAGUUGGACACGACUGAAGCGACUUAGCAGCAGCAGCAGCAGCGGCUCUAUAGUCUACAAAAGAUCUGGUGGUGGCAGUGCCUGGAAUGGUGGCGUUUCCAUCUCAAAGCUGCAAGUGGCAUUUUGGGGGAGAGGAACAUAUCAUAAGAGACCUCCUGCAUACAGGGAGAACCCACAACUGCACCCAUAGCUGCUGUCCAUGGUGCUGAUCAUCUAAAGAAAGCGUGCUGCAAGAGAAGAAGCAUCAGAAAAAUCAUUAUGAAAUUUGCAUGAGUAAACCUAAGGAUCCUGUCUUCUACUCCUCCACGAUCAAACAGAAUAGGUUUCCAAAACUGGGUAAGUGAGCAUGCAUGAUUAGAGACUCCUGAUCCCAUCCUUGUAACAUCAACGUAACAUCCACAAGUACUGAGGAACACAGUACUAGAGCCACAGGAAACCUGGAAAGAGCCAAAGUUGGGAGCAGACUUAAUGAUUACCAUGGAGUUCCCACACUUAGCCAAUCCUGUGCUACUGAGGACUAAGCCCUAGUAUCAGUUUAACCAAGCCUUCUAAAUCACUUCAGAUUCUCCUCUAACUCUCCAGAAGAUUUAAGAUCUCCUGGUAUUUCUCAUGACUGGCUUCUUGAGUCCCCAAACCUUGAACCUCUAAAACUCAGAAUCUUUGCAGACUCUGCAUUACAAAAACUUUCAAAAAGCAGAAGCAAAUUUUAGAUAAAUUGAUACAACAGAGAAGACAGUGUUUCACUGAGACAGUAAUCAAGAGCAAGUGCCAAAGAAGGGGAAAUGGGGGAAAUUAUGGAAGAUUCACUGUUUUGAAACCCAGAAUUUACCUGAAUUUUGCUUUUGGGAAAACAACCACUGUCUCACUCUCAAACCAUGUGUUUUGGGUAAAGAUGAUUCCAAACCUAAGCAUGUGAUCCAAGCCUAAGCCUGUCAAUGCAUUCUCUAUUCUAAUCACAGCUUUCAGGUAGAGGUUGGGAUAUGCUUCAAACAAGGUAAUAAAGCCUAAUUAGGACAAUUCA